AUGAAGUCAGCUGCUCUCCUGAUAUUUGUGCUGCUAUUCUGGGUACCAGGUUCCACUAGGAACAUUGUGCUUACCCAGUCUUUAGAUUCCUUGGUUGUGACUUUGGCACAAAAUGUCACCAUCUCCUGCAGAACUAGUGAAAGUGUCAAUAAACUUGGCAUACUUAUGCACUGGUACCAACAUAAACCAGGACAGCUUCCUAAAAUCCUAAUCUAUAAUGAACCUAGUCAAGCACCUGGGAUCCCUGCUAGGUUCAGUGGUGAUGAGGCUAAAUUAAACUUCAUCAUCAUCAUUAAUCCCAUGGAAGCUGAUGAUGUUGCAACUUAUUACUGUCAGCAAGGACUAACAUUUUCUCCCACAGCCUUCAAUAUCUGA